GGGGAAUAUUGGACAAUGGGCGCAAGCCUGAUCCAGCAAUGCCGUGUGUGUGAAGAAGGCCUGCGGGUUGUAAAGCACUUUUAAUUGGGAAGAAACGGUAUGGGCUAAUACCUCAUAUCAUUGACGUUACCGAUAGAAAAAGCACCGGCUAACUCUGUGCCAGCAGCCGCGGUAAUACAGAGGGUGCAAGCGUUAAUCGGAAUUACUGGGCGUAAAGGGUGCGUAGGCGGUCUGAUAAGUCGGAUGUGAAAUCCCUGGGCUUAACCUAGGAAUUGCAUACGAUACUGCCAGACUUGAGUACAGUAGAGGAUAGUGGAAUUCCACGUGUAGCGGUGAAAUGCGUAGAUAUGUGGAGGAACACCAGUGGCGAAGGCGGCUAUCUGGACUGAUACUGACGCUGAGGCACGAAAGCGUGGGGAGCAAAC
rnacentral:rRNA from 1 species